AUGAGUGACACCUGUGGCAUGGCCGCCUGUAGUUUUUCUCAGGCCUUUAGGGAGGGUUUCUGCAGUGGAAAUGAGAGAGUCUUGCAAGGCCCUGGGGUGUUCCCCCACCUUUCCAGGGAUGUUUCCCAGGGCCUGAAAAGAGUCUGGAGUGUGACCAGGAGCCAGCCCAGAGCUCCCCAGGCUGCUGUGCAUCUUUAGCUUUAUCCAUUCACAUCCGACUCCCACAAACUUACCUGACCCCCUUGCAAUGCCCAGUUCCCUGAGGCAGAAGGGGACUCCAGCGCACCAUGGAAAUGGUUCUUAUCUCUGCUCCCUUCUAGAUGAGGUGUCUGGGAAGACUUCUCCAUUAGCUUGGCUGCAUAAAGUGUUGGUCCUAUCUGAGCCCCUCUCAGGUGUGCCUGCAGGGAGGAUUUCUCCAGCUCCUUUGGUGAUUUCUACACAGAAGCCUGGCUCCCAUCGCAGGGGUCCUCCGAGGGGAAAGAACAAAGGCAAAGGACACCAGAAAGCCCAUGAGCCAUCCAAAAACAUGAGGCAAAUGCUGAAAGAAUUGCUGCAGGCAGGACAAGAGAAGGACAAAAAAGCUGUGCGGAAGGCGGCGUUUCCCAGAGGAAGCAGUGGCUCCAUGCCAGCCUCUGCUGCAGGAAGGGAGGCGAUGCCAGGCACAGGCCCAGGAG